UACCAGCACCCCGAGUGGUCGGGACGAUUAUUGGGCCUAAAGCAUCCGUAGCCGGCCUUACAAGUCCUCCGGUUAAAUCCAGCUGCUUAACAGAUGGGCUGCGGAGGAUACUAUAAGACUAGGAGGCAGGAGAGGCAAGCGGUAGCUCAGUGGGUAGGGGUAAAAUCCGUUGAUCCAUUGAAGACCACCAGUGGCGAAGGCGGCUUGCCAGAAUGCGCUCGACGGUGAGGGAUGAAAGCUGGGGGAGCAAACCGG
rnacentral:rRNA from 1 species